rnacentral:tRNA from 1 species
AAAGAAUUAGUUAAAUACAUGUAUAACAUAAAUAUGUCAAAUUUAAAUUAUUAUUUUUAUAAUAUUCUUUU